rnacentral:rRNA from 1 species
AACGUAGGGCCAGAGCGUUGUCCGGAAUCACUGGGUGUAAAGGGUGCGUAGGCGGGCGUGCGCGUCUGGGGUGAAAGGCUCCGGCUCAACCGGAGACCUGCCCUGGGUACGGCACGUCUUGGGUGCGGGAGAGGGCGAUGGAAUUCCUGGUGCAGCGGUGAAAUGGGUAGAUAUCAGGAGGAACACCGGUGGCGAAGGCGGUCGCCUGGCCCGCAACCGACGCUGAGGCACGAAAGCGUGGGGAGCAAACACG